UACGUAGGUCCCGAGCGUUGUCCGGAUUUAUUGGGCGUAAAGCGAGCGCAGGUGGUUUAUUAAGUCUGGUGUAAAAGGCAGUGGCUCAACCAUUGUAUGCAUUGGAAACUGGUAGACUUGAGUGCAGGAGAGGAGAGUGGAAUUCCAUGUGUAGCGGUGAAAUGCGUAGAUAUAUGGAGGAACACCGGUGGCGAAAGCGGCUCUCUGGCCUGUAAUUGACACUGGGGCUCGAAAGCGUGGGGAGCAAACAGG
rnacentral:rRNA from 1 species